GGGCGCUGUCGUCUUCUGUCAGGGUAGAACCGACGUAUUUUUUUCCCGUUAGGUUAGUUACUGCAUGUGAAAAACUUCACUGACACCCAGGUUUCGGUUUGCUACAGUGGUGAUUAGAGGUCUCUUAGAGACUGGCACACUAGGCAGCCACCUGGUUGGCCUCCCCUUCAUUCAGUCAGCUCUGCCAUUCAGCUUUCUUCCAGCCUCUGCACAUUACCUGUCCUAGUUCUUGUUUUAUUGUACUGCCACUCAACUUUUCUGAAUCUCCCACUUGGCUGUGUCUCUGUACCUGCUAAAUCAACACAGUUCCUGGCAUACAGGUGCAUUUCAGUGCAUGCUGGUGAGACAGCGAAGGGCUUGAAACAGUCCACAAAAGUUGAUGCAGGAGAGCAGUACAAUCCUUUCUGGAGUGGGACUCAGAGAAAGAUCAUGCAUGUUGAAGUCAUUCCAGCAGCAGUCCAGGGGAGUUGGGGCAGGUAAGAUGGGAUAAGUGCACUCCAACCAUCAUUUCUGUUGGUCAUAACUCCAGGAGAGAAAGUUUAGAACAGCUAUUUGAGGACGGUGAAAAGAAAACAGCAGAAGGAAUAUUGGUGAAGAACACAGAAUUUGAAGUACAUCAAACCAGUAGCCCUGGGCAAACCCACACCUGUAGGGUCAGCAGUCAGUAACGGGACUGACAGGAGCCAAAACUGAGGCAGUGUAAACUUGUUCUUUUUUCAGAAGAACUGUGAUCCCACGGGCUCACUUCCAAGCCAUACAUGUUUGGAUCUGGUUUUAAUGAGGAUACCAAGACCUUUGAGAACUGAAGUAAUAGAGAGGUCAUCACCUGGUUCCUAGACUGGCUUCUGGGUGGUGCACACCUGAAAUGGAGACAAAAAGCAGUUUGAAAACUGAGUGGAUGUUGACAUCACAGCGCACAGAAGAAAUAAUGUCUCGCUAUGUUGCCCAGGCUGGACUUCAA
rnacentral:lncRNA from 1 species